UAAGACGAACCGUCCAAACGUUAUUCGGAAUUACUGGGCUUAAAGGGUUCGUAGGCGGCCUUGUAAGUGAGAUGUGAAAUCCCACGGCUCAACCGUGGAAGUGCAUUUCAUACUGCAAGGCUUGAGGGAGACAGAGGUAAGCGGAACUGAUGGUGGAGCGGUGAAAUGCGUUGAUAUCAUCAGGAACACCGGUGGCGAAAGCGGCUUACUGGGUCUCUUCUGACGCUGAGGAACGAAAGCCAGGGGAGCGAACGGGAUUAGAUACCCCGGUAGUCCUGGCCGUAAACGAUGAGCACUUGGUUGGGGAUCCUCCCAUAGGUUCUCGACCGAAGCGAAAGUGUCAAGUGCUCCGCCUGGGGAGUAUGGUCGCAAGGCUG
rnacentral:rRNA from 1 species